rnacentral:misc_RNA from 1 species
UUUCCGUAGGUGAACCUGCGGAAGGAUCAUUAGUGAAUAAACAAGUGCAGGUUGUUCUGGCUUUCUUGGUAUGUGCACCACUGCCAAAGUUUCAUUCCAUCUUCCAACCUGCGCACUCUGUGUAGAUUCUGUAUGCUGUUGUCAAGCCCUUAUUGUGCUUGGUUGAGAGGAAUUGCUUGUUUUCACAAACAAGCUCUUCUUGGGCAUGCAGGUCUAUGUUUAUAUCAACACCAUAUGAAUGUUUUAGAAUGUGUAUUAGGCUUUUGGCCUUUAAAUUAUAUACAACUUUCAACAACGGAUCUCUUGGCUCUC